UACGGAGGGGGCUAGCGUUGUUCGGAAUUACUGGGCGUAAAGCGCGCGUAGGCGGCUUUGUAAGUUAGAGGUGAAAGCCCGGAGCUCAACUCCGGAACUGCCUUUAAGACUGCAUCGCUAGAACGUCGGAGAGGUAAGUGGAAUUCCGAGUGUAGAGGUGAAAUUCGUAGAUAUUCGGAAGAACACCAGUGGCGAAGGCGGCUCACUGGCCCGAUACUGACGCUGAGGCACGAAAGCGUGGGGAGCAAACAGG
rnacentral:rRNA from 1 species